rnacentral:rRNA from 1 species
UACGAAGGGGGCUAGCGUUGCUCGGAAUCACUGGGCGUAAAGGGCGCGUAGGCGGCCGUUCAAGUCGGGGGUGAAAGCCUGUGGCUCAACCACAGAAUGGCCCUCGAUACUGGAUGGCUCGAGACCGGAAGAGGUUGGUGGAACUGCGAGUGUAGAGGUGAAAUUCGUAGAUAUUCGCAAGAACACCAGUGGCGAAGGCGGCCAACUGGUCCGCUUCUGACGCUGAGGCGCGAAAGCGUGGGGAGCAAACAGG